UUUUUUAAUUAUGCAUAAAAAAUACAGUAAAUCCAUAAAGAAACAUCAACAAACGCACACCAAGUACCAUGUAUUUGACACACACACACGCAUGCAUACUCUUUUGUUUAUUGCCAAACUUAUGACAAUUAACUGUCAAAAUUAAGUAGUAGUUCUAUUUUGCAAGCUGGAAUUUUAAUAAAAAAUUUUUUUAUGAUAAAAUGGAGUGAAAUGAAAUGAAGUUGAUUAAUUUGAAACAUUAAUCAAUUGGCAUGAAAUUAAAUGAAAUGGGAUGAUAUGGAAUAAGACAUAAUCUGAGUAAAAUGGUGGUUAUUUACUGAGACUUUUUUAGUGGACUUUUUGGAGAAUCCCGAGAAGUUACGUCCAGCGGCUUUGUUUUAUUUUUCCAGAUUUGUGCACUUUCACAGAUACUAAACAGUUAAUAAACCCCCGUUAUUAUACAUUUAAAUCUGAAGAAACACUAAAUAGACUAAAUAAAACAAAUCACACAACUUCGCUCUUCGCGUGCCCGCAAAAAGCCUUUGUCAAAAGUAAUAUUGUUUGUCAUUAAGACCUAUUUGUCUAUAAUGUAUUCUUGUCGAAAUCUGUAAUUAUAUUAUAGAAGUAUAAUAGUGUUUGACAAUAAAACCAUAAUAAUGUUCAAACUUAUAAUUUCAAUUAAUUAUAGUCGAAUUUCGACUAAUGGGGGACCACUAACUAGCUUCGCCACGCGGCGUCACCUGCGGAACGACGGGAUAUAACAUCGCGGGACUCAGCUAUCAAUAAUAAAAUUUAAUGUUUCCGAAGCGAAGCGAGGACGGGUCGCUAGUAACAUAUAUUUUGAAAAGUAAUUUUGAUAACGCUCAUAGGGUAGGCGUGUCCUGAGCCCGCACGGAUAGGUCACACGGUCUAGCCCAUUUUUGCGGCGAAUCAAUAAUGCUUUCCGGUUUGAAGAGUGGGACUUUUUACAAUACAAUUGGAAUCUGUUCCUCAUAUAUUAGAGCACUUUUAGCCUUAUAAUCUAUAAAUAAUUGGGCUCCGUUAACCUAUUAACAUUGGGAAGGCUAUCUACCUGUCUAUGAAAAUAAAAAUAAUACUUUGAAAUAUUUUUUUCCAUUUUAUUCAAAAUGCCGAAGAAAUGCACAAUUUUUUUUUGCUUAGAUGGAUGUACGGGCUCACAGCCCACCUGGUGUUAAUUGGUUACUGGAGUCCAUAGACAUCUACAACGUAAAUGCGCCACCCACCUUGAGAUAUAAGUUAUAAGAGAUAUAAGGUCUCGAGUAUAGUUACAACGGCUGCCCCACCCUUCUAACCGAAACGCAUUACUGCUUCACGGCAGAAAUACGCAGGGCGAUGGUACCUACUCGCGCGGACUCACAAGAGGUCCUACCACCAGUAAUUACGCCAAUUAUAAUUUUGCGGGUUUGCGCAAAUUAUAAUUUUUAUUACACUAUGUUAUUCCUUCAUCGUGGAGGUCAAUCGUGAACAUUUGUUAAGUACGUAUUUCAUUAGAAAUAUUGGUACCCGCCUGAGAUUCGAACACCGGUGCAUCGCUCAACACGAAUGCACCGGACGUCUUAUCCUUUAGCCACGACGACUUGUAAGGAAUGUAAAACACACACACACACACAUUAAUUUAUCUUACAAAAUAUUCUAUAGUUAUAUAUCCACAUCAACCGUGAAUAAAUCUACCACAACCAUGUCAUUCAAUAUUGUGCAUAAAAAACAACUAUAUACAUAGUUAGUAUGUUAGUACGUAACUUUAUCAAUAAAA